GGUAAAGAUGGCCGUGAUGGACGCGACGGGAGAAAUGCCGGAGAAAAGGGAGAAAAAGGCGAGCAAGGAGCGCCAGGAGAUGUCAGGAUGAGAGCAAUCAAGGGAGAAAAAGGUGCGCAAGGAUUGCCGGGAGAUGACGGAAUGAAAGGAAUCAAGGGAGAACAAGGUGCGCAAGGACUGCCGGGAGAUGACGGAAUGAAAG